UUUUUUUUUGGUUGAAAAAAAAUGUUUGCACAUAGAGCCAUUCAAAACCAAAUCUGCAAGUGCCAUGCCAAUGCCAUGAUGGAGGAUUGAAGCAUCUGGGCAGUGGUUGAGAGCAUCGGAGAACAGAAAACAUGCACUUGAAUGCUGCACAUCUCUCAGGCUUUUACUUCCGACAUGAACUCCAACCGGAUUUCCUGCAAAUACAUACUGGUUCUUGGCUUCCUUCCUACUACUUUGCCUGACACUUGACCGGACCAGAGUACUACGUGACAGGGCCUGAGGCAGUGCUGAGCUCACAUUCCCUACUUCCUGUGUCAUGGCAAUGGCCAAAACUGACAUCCUAACUGCCCCAACUCACACUGGUACCACUUGCACAGUGUAGGCAUGCUCAGCAAGUUCCAAGAUUUUCCAUUCCAUCCUUGUGUAUACGCAGCUCCUAUUCCUGUGUAUUGCCAUUCACCUGACCUGACCUCCCAAGCCGUCACCAUUGAACAUCGCCCACAAGGCUCAAGUGCUCACGAGCGGUCCUUAAACUUACACGGCGGCGGCUGUAUCAUUCCGAUUCCUAUACUUUUUUUUUAACAGUAAAGGGCAGGAUUCCUAUACUCUUAGAAUGCAUUUUUUAUCCCUAAACUCUGUUUGAGUCUUACCAUAGUCCAAUCGGGUCCCCAUGCUGUGCGCCUCUAGCCAACAUGGAGUCUACGUGGAAAUGGCGAGCAUGAUCUCUUAGUCCUUGCCAGGGAGCGGAGGAGGAAGAGCGGCAGCAGGUGGCAAUCUCGCGAGCUGGGGAGAGCGACGGUGCUGUAGGCCGCGCCAUCUUCCAGGUUGUGGCAACUUGGCAUGCCGCAUGCAUGCCGCGAGCUCACAGUCGCCUGCCUCGGCUUCUCCGUCCUCUACGUCGACGAGCUACUCCCCGGUCGUGUGAUCACUACAUGUGCCCAUAUCGAGCUGCCGCCGUCGCGCGUGCGAAGGAGGUGCCAUGGGCGGAGCCGCGUUGACAAGAGACGGCGAGGCCGAGGAGGCAGCAGGGACGGAGACGACCAUGGACGCUGCGAAGGUGAGGCACUGGCUUAAGCAUAAGAUCGAGCACCUGGCGUGCGUUGUCCAUGCGCCACCAAGGCCACGACUAACAACUUGUUGAGCACAACGGGAGAAACAACAUGCGCAUGGGCGCAAAUGGCAGAAGACGCCGAUGCGCGGCUCGCGGUAUGCAUCAACUCGCACGCUCGCACCACUGCCCGGCGGUGAUGCCGUCGGCACCAUGCUCUUCAUGGCCAUCUUCAAUCCCGUUAUCCGCGAUGUUUAUUAGAGUCUCUCGUCGAGGUCGUUAUGUUCAUCGCAUACGAGACAGCCGCUUCCAAGGCUGAGGACAAGAACUGGGAUGCUGAACAGCAGCAGCCGUACGUGCUGAACCUCAACGUGGAGGUACCUCAGCGUCGAGCUGACAGUGUCGUCCCAAAUGGUGUCGACGCCGGCGUUGGUGCUGCUGCUAUCGAGCUGGACUUCAUGCGCGGCAUCGGCGUGAAGUCUGGUCCCUAGUGUGCUGGAGAGAAGAACUACAGGACAAAGGGAGCAGUGGUGGCAAUUGUGGUGCUCCUCGCCGGGGAAGAAAGGAAGCGAGAGGCCAAUCCAUGCUAGCGUGCUGAGAGAACUGGCUUGUGGACCCUAUGGACGGUCCAGCCAUGUGACAACACGCCACGUCCAUAUGUGGGUGCGGGUCAAGACCCAUUUGGACUUGAGAAACAAAAACAAGUUUAGGGACAUAAAAAUACAUUUUUAGGGCACAGGGAUCGGGACGACACGUAUGUGUAAGUUUAAGGAAUUGCUACGCAUUUUACUCUUAAAAAAAUUCUAGUGAAAGGUGAUGGAAAAUGGGCAUUGUCUUUAACUAUUGUAUUUUUUCCCUUGUUGUGUCAUUUUUUUCUGAGGUUAAUCUUUUAGAAGAGUCAUGCUUUUAGACCGAUUCUGCCAACUAGAAAUACGUAUAACUGUUGGCAUGUUGCACAUGAGUAAGAUAAGAACAGGAUGCAUAUUUUUGACGUCAAUCUUUUGUUGUGAAGCGAGUGACAUGGGCGCUGGCCAUCAUGGAGUAUUGAAGGAGGUAGCAACAGGGCGAUCGAUCGAAGGGCAGUGAAGUGAUGACCUGCACUUAAUGUUGGUCAUCAUUCGCUCAUGCCUCGGGACAGCAAGAGAGAUCUGUUCCAAGAUCAGCAAGAACAUUUGAGUUGACAGCCAAAGACUAGGCACACUGCACUGUGCAUUUGAGUACUGUACACUUGCUACUGCUAGUAGUAGAUGCAAUCGAGUGCAACGGUUAAAUGCCAUUGACCUUUUGACCUCAAGUUAGCAUGUGUGCUUGUAUGAUGAUCCGCCUUUGUUCAACUCCAAACCACAAUGUUGUCUACUGUAAUUUCACAAGAAAUGCAGCGGUCUCGAUCUGUGUGUGUUGAGGGAGAGGGUCCAGAGGGAGGAAGCGCAAAGGCAAGAAGGAAGACCAGGAGGGGGCCAGGGCUGACAAGACCGAGGAGGAAGAGGAAGAAUGAUGGCGUAUCUUUGGACCUGGAGUGCGUCAUCAAUUCAUCCCCAUCAUCACACUCUGUUGACAGCUAGCUACCACGCACACAGCCUCGACUCUGCAGCUGACAGAGGAUGAUACAUGACGCACAGCAUUGACUCGUACAAGAACACUCCUUUCAUCGAGCUUGAGGGCGGGCUAUAAAUAGACUCCCAGGCACACUUGAGCGAAACACAUCGAGCUCUUCCUCAUCUAGCCUCCUCGUCCUCCCCGACCCCCUGCACAAGUGCAAAUCAUCUGCCUGUAAAGGCCAAGCCAACCGCGCUACUGCAGAGUUGAGGGAGAGGUACUAGUGCUUCAAAUGCAGAGCAUUGCAGAUUCGAGUGUAUAUUUCCAGUUGUCUGUGUUGAACCCUUUGUUUCUUGUUUCCAGUUGAAGUUACAUGUGUUUUGAUCAUGCUCGUUCUGAAAAUUGACUGCAAGCAUUUGACUUCUGAACUUUAUUUUGGUGGUUUUGGAUGCAUGUAUAUGCAGGUAGUUUGCCAGGCGAAGGAUGGAGCGUGUGAACUCGAGCCUGUGCCUGGAGAACCUGCGGAUGAUGCACGAGAACGAGCGGCUGCGGAGGAAGGCGCAGCAGCUGGACCAGGAGAACAAGGCCCUCCUCGCCCAGCUCAAGCGCAAGCAGCAGCAGCAGCAGCACAACUCCUCGGCGUCGUCGUCGGCGUCCCAGCAGCAGCAAGGCGCCCCUUCCGCCGCCACCGCGGCCAACAACUUCAAGGCGGCCGGCAAGCAGCAGCCCACUAUGUGAACAAGUGACCGCUAGCUGCAUCCUUGUCUUUUGUAACGUAGCAGUAGCUAGCUGGUUACUACUCCUAACUAGCCACUGGUAGAGUAGUAGUAGAAGGAAGUUAGGAACUGAUGAUGAUGGUUAAGCCAGCAGCGGCAGCAUUUUGUGCUACGCGGAUGGAGUACUCAACUCAACUAGUCAGUUGAGCAGUCAGUCUUUCACAGUGCACGCAGCAUGCUACCGACGAUUGUUCCAGUACUGCUGCUUUUGUAAAAACAAGUGCCUCUCUCUUGUAUGCAAAUAUGCGAUGCAAUAGAGUUUUUCUCGAGGAAGAAGAAAUGGGAGAGAUCAGUACUGCAUGAAUAGUAGUAUAAUCGACUUGGUGGAGUAAAGCCCUUCACCCUUUUCAACUCAUGUUUGUUUUUUAAAUGCACACAUGCCAUGUUUGUCUGAGCCUGAGUGUCUGACGCGCGGUUGACCAUGUGAACCCUGCACAAGCUGCUGGUGACUGGUGAGUGCUUGCGAGAUACCAGGCCGGCAGGCCCCCCCGUGCGUUUCACUGGAAAGCCCAGCCCAAUAUGAGCCCGACAGGGAAAAACCCGUCGUCUGGGCUGCGCAUGGAUUCAGGCCUAGUAAUUAAUUUUGUAUUAAUUAAUCAAUUACGUUGCUUUGCCUAGCUGGGCAACCUAAUUAUCAAGUCUUGCGUUUCCAUAUAUUUCUUCCUUCAUAAAAAGAAAAUAGGAAUUGUAGGCAACCUACUCUACUCUACCGGGUCACGAUGUCACCACCUAACGCGCGCGCCAUUCCCAACCAUCUUUACCCACCCUCGUCUAUGUUCGUGCAAGCAAGGUAAAGCAUCAUCAUAUAUACCACCGGUACCCUGCACGCCACGCCCAGCUCUACCUUCAAUUCCUUUUUCUUCAUCCAAGUCACCAGGAAAUUAAACACAUACAGUAUAUCACAAAGCAACAUGGCAGGCAUACGCAUGGCCAGCGACGACGAUGGCCGGAAGAAGGUGGUCCCCGACAUCGACGACGAGGACGAGCUGUUCGAGCUCGACAUCGACCUCCUCGACGGCCACCGCGGCCAUUACUAUUCUGCUGCCGUCGCCGACGACGGGCAGCAGCAGCAUGCUCUGCUGGCCAACUGCCUGCUGCCAGCACGGUCGGUGAGCAACGCGGUGCCGGUCGACGCGAGCAGCGCGCUGUCGUCGUACCCCUACUCCGGCUACUACAGCUCCAGGAGGCUCGUCUUUGGUGGCGGCGUCGGCAGGAGGUUUCUUCUUGGACGGCCAGGGAACUCGGCCAGGUUUUGCUUCUCGAGCAGAGGCUUCGAUGCCUACUUUCAGAGGUACUGAUCGGGCACGUUUCGUCCCAUGUAAUGCAACAGCUAGCAGUACAGACUACAGUCUACAGACCGAUCGAGCAAGGUAACUAGCUAGCUAGGUUCAGUGGCUUAUGUUAAAGCGCAAUAAAGAGGCUGCAUUUUUGCCACAAUAUGGUUCAUUUCUGGCUCAGUCGUUGUGUACUAUAAAUCGACGGAACAGUUCAACUUUGUUUUCAGUCACUUUUUUUUUUCGGAAUUUCGGGUGAUUAUGUGAUGGUUUCUCACCCAGAUUUCUAAGGCCAGGAUCAUUCCAAGAUUCCAGAUUUCUAAUUAUCUCUCAGGCGAUUAUGAUUAUAGUGUAUGAAAACAAAAGAAAAGGCAAGCACAUUGGACAACGACGCUCCUCCCAGAUUCAUUUCAUCAGUCUGGGUUCUGAAUCUUCAUUUGUCUCUAAAUAUUCAGUGGAUUCAGUUAACAUUGUCAGUAUGCUAAGGUUUCUGAAUAUUCAUUAACCUCUGAAUAUUCGGUGUUAUGAAUGUAUUAAUUCAUUUUGCCUAUUUCUAGUAACCAUUCUGAUUUGCUCCAUUUUUUCUGCUUUCAGUUUCUUCAUAAUUCAGUGCAAUAUGGUUGAGUGCCUUUUCCAUCCAAUUCUUGCUCCAUUCAUUGCUUUUCUCCAUUUUUCAAUUUUAUGCCAUCUUAAGGUUGUUCCACUUUCUAUGUGUCAUGUCUUUUUCUUCUUUUGACCAGCUCUCAAUCAGAAACACAAUUGAAGAACUAUAUAACAUUUUCCAGAUUUAAAUUAGCUCAUCUUUUGAUGGAUUUACUUUAUUAGUAUUCAAUUUACUUACUGAUUUAGACAGCAUUAAAAUGCACCGAAGUUAACAUUGUCAGCUGAAUAUUCGUUGUAACCACUAUAUAGCAGCUACUAUUGCUGUGUGAAACCACUACACAACAGGUUGAAGAUUUCCUACAAACAAGAUCAAUUGUUCAGAGUCAUUCAGUAUUAGUCAAUUUAGAGUCCUAUUCAUUUCUUUAGUGUAGUCUCAUAUUUCAUUUUUUUCAGAUUUUCUAAAUAUUCAUUCUAUGCUCUAGGCUCGAUAUGAGUACAGAUGCCCAUCCUUUUUCUGUCUCCAUUUUUUUUUCUAAAUGUUUCAUUAUAUUGCUUUUUGAUCUGUUGUAGCUGCACUAACAUCGUCUUUCAGGUUAAAUAAUUCAGUGAUUCAUUAUUCAGUUUUCUUCUUUUUUUUUUCCCGACAAAGUCAAGGCUGCAGCUGCAAAUGGAUCUUGGCUCUAAAGCAUUCGGGUCUAAGAUUUAGCUGCUGCAUGCAGGUCUGAAUUCUGUAUUAGUUCUGUUUUGUUUUAGUGUAGUCUCAGAUUUCAUUUUUUGAUAUUUUCUAAAUAGUCAGUAUAUGCUCUAGGCUCGGUAUGAGUACAGAUGCCCAUCCUUUUUCUAUCUCCAUUUAACACCGAUCAUGCAUGUGAUUCUGUUUCUUUUUUGUCAAGAUCACUAACAAUCUCUAUUAUGGUUGAGGAUGCAGGGCAUCGUUCAUCACCAUCAAGUCUGAUGGCUUCCAAAGUGGCUUGGUGUUCAAUAUUCAGCUUAGUCUCAUGUACAGUUUAUUUUGUUUCAUGUCCUUAUUCUGUACAUGAAUAAAUGAAUGCUGAAGCAAAAUUAUUCUGCGAGUAUUAUGCACAGAUAGUUGCAUUGUGAUGUUAUGCAUUUCUAGUUUCAGUUUUGUCAUCUCCAUGUUCAAUUUUCUUUCAACGCUUUUAUGAACCAAGCAACAAUUAAUGAUCAGUGUUAAAUUUAGAAGCAGAGAUGAAUGGACAGUAAAUGAAUACCACCUGCACCAUUUUAGUAAGUUCAACAAUUAAUGGUCAGUGUCAAAUUUAGAAUCAGAAAACAAUGGAUAGUAAAUGAAUACUACCUUCACGGCUUCACCAGCAACAUAGUUUCCCCCCCUAGUUAUUUCUUUAUUUUUCUUAGCUGUUAUUGGGUCAAAAUCUGAGUGAUACACAGGUUGAAAAUUACCCGGAUGACAGGUAGUCACUCCCUUUUUUUUACUCUUUUGAUUGAACCCAGGCCCAAUCCGCGUGGAUGUGAUAGUAUGGGCCAAGUAAGCCCAAAUAACCUUUCCAGUUAUAGCCCAAUUAGGGCCUCGUAGGGCUUACAAUCCUUUCUUGCCCUACGAGGCGUACUCUCGCGAUACCUAUAGAAAUACGUCUUCUAGUGGAGAUCGCGUAUCGAUUGUGCACGUGGGAGCACAAAGCACAGCUGCGCGCAACUCGGGCGUGGCGCCGGUGGCGGAUUGGCGUCGCGGAACCGCCUCGGCGAUGACGCCCCCGAAGCCCCAGCCACCGGCUGCUGAGAGAUGGUGCUGCCAGGUCGCGGGGCGGCGCCACUUCCUCAUCGAGCGAUUGCUUCCACCGAGAUGAGGUCGCGGUGACCGGCCGGUGAGGGGACUCGCAUUCGCUCGGCCCUCGCCUCCCUCUGAUCGCAUUCAAGUUUCCAUGUUACUUAUUUUGUUGAUUGGGUGCGUUGUUUAUGUGCUGCCGUUGAGCAACAAUUUCACUCGCGCGUUUCAAUUAGCACAAAUUGAUCCUCAAAAAAAUUAGCACAAAUUAGCAUGAACUGCUGGGUAUUCCAUUGUCUUCGUUGGCGACAACUCUGCUAGUUUUACUUUGAUUGUCUCCUAUUCGAAAUCCAGCAGAUAUCUGACAUUUCUGUGACUUUGUUCGAUAAUAACGUCUCAUCAAAGUUAGGCGUUUUUGGUUUACAUUUACUUAAGUUGACUUUUAUUUUCCUCCCAAAAUAAAGUCGAGUUGUUUAUAUAUCCGGUAUAAAAUUGGGCUGCUGCAGAUGUGGUGUGUGUUCCACGUUUCCCUGAGAGAAAGUUGGGCAUCUGAAAGUUGACAUAUGCAAGGAACCUAGAGUUCAGAAAGAACAGAGUUGCCUAUUAUCGUUGAAAUCUGUAGUGAACAGAGUUCAGAAAGGACAAAAACGCCUACUGUGGUUAUAUAGAGCUGUGUAAUAUUCGGGCACUAAGAAGAGCAAAGGAAAGCACCAGAUAAAAGAAACAAACGUGUAGGAUAUGGCCUAUUUCCGGGAAGAAUUUUUAACCUGCAUCAAUCAGAACAUGUUAUCAUCGAAAUGAUGGAUUUCAUAAAAUAUAUUAUGAGGUUUUGGGAUUAGAAAAUAUAAAUGUGUGGUGAUGUGUAGAGGAACUUUUAUCUGCAACCAAUACUCGAUGAUGAAGUUGCGACCUAAGAUAAGACUUCGUCCUUAGUAUAUUUAUUGCCCUUUUAUCUUCCCUUCAAAAAAAGUGCGUUUUCAUCUUGCAUCUUUGGCCACUCAAUGGUUACUAAGAAAAAGGUUCAACCAUAAAGCCAAUUAAGCCUGGUUUUCUUUCGUUACAUAUAUCAAAAUAUAAUAAAAAAAUUGGGUACAUGUGACAUUGGAAGAACCAUGUUUACUGUUGAACCUAGAAAUUCUCACAUUCAUCAGGAGAGAAAGGAGAGAUCUGGAUACCAUUUGCUUGAUAUGUUUGGAUUAUACAUUUGUUGAAUAUUCAGAUACGUUAGAAGUCUAAAUUCUGAAUAGAGCACCAUAUCUGGACUAGAAGAUUGAUAUUUUCAGGCAUUAAUUUGGAAACUUUACAAAUAAUCUUUGUUGCAUAUUUUCAUAUGCCUCACAGAUAUGUGAGAAUUUCUGCUAGUUUUUUAUACUCUUACCAUUAGUAUUUUCAAUAUUUAACUUCUUCUUCCUACUCUUUCUUAUUUGCCUUUCUGCAUUUUAGUGGCAUAUGUAUUCAAAAGGUAUAUGAAUUACAUCUUGAAUACCCGAAUUCUUCCUUCAACUAGCAAAGAGAACUGAGAUUCCACUCCCCAGCAACUGAGAACACAAGUAAAAUCGUUUAUACUUGACGCUUUGUAGGCUAGCCAAGGGAAUUCUCCUUUGCACAGGUUGCAAUGUUGCUUGUAUAAGUAGCCUCUUGUGAACAAAGAGAGCAUUCAGUUUAGACUCAGAUACCAUACUUUAACAUUUCUAGUAGGCAGUCCUCUAGGUGGUACCUCCCUUAUCUGUCCAUGCCUCUAACAAUAAUUCACUAGGGAUGUCUUCAUAUUUCUACAAGGUGACAUGACAAAAUCUGACAAUUUCCAUUUCCAGGAGAUUUGGAUGUCAGAAAAAGUGCACAUAGUGUGAAUCUGGCAAGUGGCACACUGCAAAUAGUAGAUGAUUUUUUUUUGCCUGUGGGGGAUGUCCAACAACCCUGGUUUCAGACUUUCAGGGACUGUCUUAUACAUGAAAUUUUACUAUAAGCAUGGAUCAUUCAUGACUCAAUCUUAACACUUGCAAAACAAUCUAGUACUGAUACAAUUUGCAAAAUGCAUCCGGAUCAUUCAUGGAUCAUUGAUUUUGUAGUAAGAGGAUCUGAAGGCGCUUAUUUAUCAUAAUGUGGACAGUGGGAUCUAGAACUUUCAGCGCCUCCUAGCAGCUGUUUCUCUCUGAGCAUUGAAGUAGACAGCAGCUACAGGGAGGCCAAGGUCAUUUUCCUCAGCAAACUGCUUGGUGUUGAAAUGAUCCCUGAAGGAUGGCACAGUUACAGUUUGCCUGCGCUUCUGCUUGAAGAGCACAAAAAUGAACCUGUGGAUACCAAUGCUAGGUCUUGGGCUCUCGUAGCUUAUGACCUCUCGCCCUGCAAUUUGGAAGAUGCAUGGUUAUUAAUUCAAAGAACAAUUGGAACAUGGCAUAGAUUAAGCAUGAAUCAGUGAAAGAGCCUACCAAACGAGGCAUCUGUUGUCCCAGGUAUAUCGGUCACGAUCCUGCAAAUGUAAAGGAUAACAUUUAGCCACACCACAAAGUGUUCAGAAAAUGUGCUGUUUUGUGUAUAUGGAAGAUGUGAUGCUAUCUUCCUUAGCAACAUAUGUUAUUUGAUGUCCAUGAGGUAAGAAAUGCUGAAUAUUACCAGUGAAGGUGCUCUCUUUGAUAUGGAUCACUUGGUCCUGGGACAUCUGGGUCUGUCAUAACCUGAAAUUUGAAGAGCUAUGGCCAUUAGGGAAGGAAUAUUACAUAUAGAAUAUUUGGAUUUAACCAUGAAGCAUUUGACUGCUAACCAAUGUAAAGAAAGACCGCAAGUCACCCCCUUGAACCUCUACUCUUGGUUUAGAUACAACUGCUGAUGGGUAUAUCUCGUGGCCAUUGAAGACAAGUUUGUUUGAGUUGUAGGUCACUGUCAUCUUCACACAUGGAUUAAAGGAGUCGAGGACUUCACCAAUCACCCGACCGACUACGAGUGCCUCGACAGACCUAGACAUGGUUGGAGGGACAGGUAUUUGUAUUCUGCAGAACAAAUGCUCUGACUGAAUGCAGCAAGCUAAUGCACUCAAGGAUGUGCCGCGAGCUGCUUAUUGGGCAUUGGUUGAGCACAGGCCUCUAUUUAUAGUGGUUUGGAACCUGUUGCCAAGUGUAGGAUCAAAAGAGGAUGUGAAGCAUGUGUGUUUUUUUAGUUGGGCAUGCUAUGGAUGCAGCUGAAAAGGCAACAGGAAGGAUGUAUGCUUUUUCCAAGAAAGCCAACAAGGGGUACUAUAUUUCUCUAACAAUCACAUAAAGAAUCUACACAAGCAAUGCUUCACGUAUCUUCUUUCAAGUUCUUGGGAUCCCCUCUCAGAACCAUCUGAUAUGAAUAAUUGACUACAAAUGUGCAAAAUUUUCCUUUUCUUAUUGAGAUGAACGUACUGAAGGUAUUCUUUCAUGAAUGAAACAAUGUUUUUCGGGUGUUGUCGUCACAAAAUAUGUGAUAGAUCAAUAAGUAUAUUUUAUACCUUUAUAGAACGUAACACACCUCCAGGAAAGUGGGUCACGGUAAAGAUUACGGUGCUAAACUAUCUUGUAUUGCUGGGAAACAUCGCUCACCUACCUACGUAGGAUCUGCAUGACAGCCACUUUGCAGAAUUCAAUGCUUAACCGUGUUAUCAAAUUAUUGUGUGCCAUUAUCUCUAUGCCCUACUGAAAGAGAAAAAAGGAACUUUUUUUAUCGAACACGCGGGAGAGCUGCAUAUCUUUAUAUUAAGAGAGAAAGAAGGGGAAAGAUCCCCGUACAAAGCAGUCUCAUUUCCUCACAAAGGAUGAAAUAAGGCUGCCGCAACACCACACAGACCUAAACUAAGAAACUCUCACUUGACCCUCCCGUUGACCUGAAAUAAAUACUGAAUUUUUUUAGCAACAGCAAGGCCCCAAAGCCUCAACUCUUCUUUAAAGAACUGAUGUGCUGCUUGCAAAGAAGGGGCUGCCCCCAUCAAAAACUCUCCCUUGUUUAUGUGGUUCCAUAGCGUCCAAGCUCCUAGUAUAACCAAGCUCCUAGAAAAAAGGGAACUUUGUCAUAUAAUCAUUACCAUCUCAUUUCUGGAGAGCACACUUAUCCUUUUUUCUUAAAAAAAUGGAAUCUCUGCGUAACUAUUCGUGGCAAGUUUGGAAGUAUGGCUUUGUGGAGAUAAAUGGAAAAUAAAGGGGAAUAUUUUUUUUCCGUGGCUUGGAGACAAAAAUUGCUGCGCUGUGGACGUGGAAGCCUUUGUGCUCUGCAGAAUAUGAUGCUUAAUCACCUUAUCAAAUUUGUGUAUCAGCUCUGCACCUUUUAAAGGUGAAAAACAUAUGAGCUAUUCUGGAAAUCUGUAGUAGCACCUGAUUUCUGGAAAGCACAUUAAAAUACCUUAUUGUUAUAUCUAGAUAAAUUAUCGAUGGUAGGAAGAUGGCCGUUCUGGAGGUAAAUGGGAAACGGGGAAUAUGAUUCUUUGGAAUUUGGUUUUUGAGGAAACUAUCAAUUCCAUUUGGCAUGCUUGAUUUGAUGUUUACUUAAAUUGCCAAUAUUCUUAUCUUCCUGUUUUAUAUAAUAUAUAUACAUACAUAUAUAUAUACAUAUAUAUAUAUAUAUAUACAUAUUCUCAUUGUCUUGGAGAUGAAAUGCUGCUCUGUCUGCGUGGAAGCCUCUCAACCCUCAAAUGUUCAUUUUUGCCGGCUUAUUCUUUUUAGGUAACCCUCAUUUAGCUGCCUCUUUUUCUGUUAAGGAAAAGAGAAGCUUUGAGUUCAAUUCGUGUUAGAAUUUUUCCUCGGACUGUGAUACCAACUGAUUUACCAUUAUUAUCUGUUUAUUCUACUCUUUGCCAUGCUAUGACAAGAAGUCGCUGAAGAGAAUAAAGGAACAGAAUGCAGUGCCGCCGCCACUUCAUCAUGUAGGGUGCUGUCUAGUGCAGAGAUGUCAAUUCAGUUUUAAAAAGUUCAUAGGUUCUUCUUGAUUGAGGCAUUAAAAAAUCUUUAUAGAUUUCCAUAAGUGGUGGAGCCAAGUACAGGUUUGUGCAUUCUUCUGUUAUGAUCAAAUGCCAUCAUGCCUGCUCGGCACCAUGCGUAAGUGGUAGGAGGUUAAGUACAGCUUGGUGACAAUUUUCUGCUCCUGCCAAUUCCAUGAUAUUUGCUCCACACCUAGCUAAGGUAGUAGAAUCUCAUAGCUGUUCCAACCAAUGGUAAAUGCAUAUCGCAGCCCCAUUGGUAGGAAAAUCUCUAUAGGGUCAGUUUUUUUUUGGAAAUCAGACCAGUUUAGCAAUAGCUUAGGGCUUUCUUAUGCCUAGGGCUUUCAAUGAAGUUCACUAGUUUAGUAGUCCGUGGAGACAGAUUGGUUAGCUGCCAGAGUUCUGAGGGAGCAAUACCAAACGGCUACCAAUAAUUGGUAUAGUUGAUUUUGUACCCUGCGCAUCUUUGGGAUGGUAUACUGAAUGAUGAGUGCUGCUGACUUGUUUCUAUGGCAUCUUGACUAGUUCCAGUAACAGAAAAAUCUUCACUAGUUUCACUCUUGCAUGUACUAAAACAAUUAGAAAAGACAAAGGCUGCUUUACCAAUGUUCAGCCUCAUUAACAAGUUCCAUUUAUACAUCUCUGGGGGCAAUAAUAACCAUAUUUCACCUCCAUGCAGAUGAUGAUGUUUCUUGGUUGUUGUCAAUAAGCUGUUAUCCAACACCUAUGUGAAAAAGGAGCCAUCCACUGAGCCUUUGUCCCUGAACACGCAGAGUGGUAAGUAGCCAACCUGAAUGGACUUGACGGGAGGAUCAUUGUGGGCCAAUCCGUGGAGGCGGUCAGAUAUUCAGAUCAUGACAUGAAGACUUUGGCGGGAAGAGUCCAUGCUCCAACGAAUCUCCAAGGAUCAAUGUGUCUCCCCUUGAUUGCUUACGAGUCAGUACCCAAGCAUACAAGAUAACUCUCAAAUUGUGAUUGUGCUGGUUGACGCUGAGGGAGUUCCAUGAGGAUUUGGUUCGUGGUUUGGGCGAUCUAUGCCAUGAGAGUUGAAUAUAUUAAACUUUUAUCCCACGUGGUGGCAAGCUGCAGGAUUUUGGUAGGAAAAACUUCGUGUUCGGCUAGCUGCUUUGCAGCUGGCCGCCGCCGCUCGGCAGCAGCCAGCUGAACAGCUACUCCAGAUAUCAUCGUAGGAGGCUCUGCCUGCUGCUGCACCAGCAGUCGAGCAGCAGCAGCCAGCCGAACACGCUGUGCAAGUUUCCAUAUUUCUUCAGACAAUCUCUCGGUGUUGAAUGCCGAGAGACGUUGCAUUUGCAUGGACCAUGGAGCCCAGAAGUUUGCAGUUGUAAGCUAUAAUCAGCCUUUUACAGCUGCUGAAUGCUUAUCCUGGUUGUGUGGAUGUGGUUGAACUUGUGUACACAUUACAGUGUUACUGACUUACUGUGGCAGCGCGGAAAGUUGAUUCUCAAGACCAUUUCCUUUUUAAUUCACUUGUUUUCCUUUUUUUUUCCUGCGUGAGAAACCAAACAAGCAGUAGGAGAUUUGGUUAAUAAUGCUGUGUUUUUGGGCUGUACCAGAGCCCAUGACAACGAGCUGGAUCCCCUGCCUCCAGGGCGACCAGUCCAAUCCGUGAUCCUGUACUGAAAUCCGCAGAGCUGGGCUGUGAUCUGGGAUCCAUUCGCGUGAUGCCAACAAAUAUCAAUGUCCGGGCGGGGAGGUCAUGUGCUCAGGUCAGCGUGGUCUCGCUAUCAAAUAUCAAUGUGCACCCAAAAUGGCCACUAGUUUCUGGAGCCUCAUCGGCAUCUAGGAGACUAGUAGGAUUGUGUGCCAACUACGCUAGUCCCUCUCUACUUUGGAGGCUCAAUACUUUCAGUACACCAUUCUUGGUUGGUAAGAUUGCAGAUUUUCUUUCCAGUACCCACUUGCAUUGCAAGCGAAGAAACCGAACGAAACGCGGUCAUGGAGCAGAGAUCGUAUAUUUUGCAGCUCUGAUGGCCACCUUAUACCAUGAGCACGCCUCUGGAUAAUCCACUGAGCUAGGCACCUUCUCCUGUCUGCCUGAUCUUCUGGCAUUCAGCUAGGCACCAGCAGCUCGGAGAUGACUAGGACUGUGUACUGCAACAGCAUCGCAAAUCUUAUCUCUUAUUCACAGCAGUGAUACAUAGGGCACGCAAAGCAGCAGCAACACAGGAGCAAAACCUGACAGACAAGAGCCAAUAUAUGAGAAAAAGUUAAUCCCAAAGACGAUCAUACUCAUUAACAUAUGUAGUGGAAAGAACAAUAGGGGGGAAACAUCAUUUCCCCCAAGAGUAACAUCUUGAAGUCUGAACAGAAAGUUGUGACUUGCAGAAGAACCUUAACUACCAACCAUCUUUGCACUGAACAUCUUGUGCUCAUGUAAGUUGUCACAGUGAAGUGACUAUAUUCAAAUUUACAUUGCAAAAUAGGAACAUAGAUCUGGAUCAACGUAGACCAUGAGGAUAAAAUAGUCAUAUGUCUACAGCAGCAAGCUAAAGCAGAAGAUGCAAAACAAAUAAAUAAAAGCAGUGAUUGUCAGGCCUGAUUCCCUGAUGGGGUCCAUCUGUUGCAAAAAGGCCACCGACGGAAUAAAGCACAACCGACAUUGCAAGUGUGCCUUGCCACUCAAAGCUAUCUUCACAUUUGUCUCCUCUCACCUGAAAGCACCAGAUCUGGAGAAAAUGGCUCCUAAAUUAGUCUUUGUUCUGCCAAUUGUGCUCCUCGGCUGGGCAUUCCAGGCGAUUCUCCGGCCACCUCCCACAAAACUGUGUGGCUUCCCAGGUGGCCCUCCUCUGACAUCUCCGAGGAUCAAGCUCAGGGACGGAAGGUACCUUGCAUACAGGGAAGAUGGAAUACAGAAAGACAAGGCCAGGUACAAGAUCAUCACAGUACAUGCAUUUGAUAGCACCAAGGACAUCCCCCUGCCUGUUUCCAAGGUAUAGCAGACAACACAACAUGGCUACAAGCGAAAUCUCUCUUUUAUUUCUUCGUAUUAUGCCCACUGGCUUCUAUCUUUGUCAAUUCAGGAGCUUGUUGAAGAACUGGGAAUUUACUUCCUUGCUUUUGAUAGAGCUGGGUAUGGGGAAAGUGACCCAAAUCCCAAGCGGGAUGUAAAGAGCGAGGCACUGGAUAUCGAGGAGCUCGCUGACCAGCUGGAGCUUGGGCAGAAGUUCUACGUCUUGGGGGCCUCGAUGGGAGGAUACUCUGUUUGGGGAUGCCUCCAGUAUAUACCCCACAGGCAAACAUAGUCCCCAACCACAUAGAUUUUAGUGAAAUACAAACCUCUUCAGAUAUGUAAAGCUCCAUAUGCUGUGUGCGUGCAGGCUCGCAGGUGCUGCGCUAGUUGUUCCAGUUAUCAACUACUGGUGGCCUUCUUUCCCAGCUGAACUAUCCAGGCAAGCCUUCAAGAAACUGGUAGUGCCAGAGCAGAGGACCCUGUGGAUUGCACACAACGUACCUUCCUUGCUCUACCUGUGGAUGACCCAGAAGUGGCUCCCUUCUUCGGCAGCUGCCAUGCACAACCCUGAAAUAUUUAGCAAGCAUGAUAUGGAGGUUCUUCAGAAGAUGAUGGCAAUGCCAAGAACCAUCGAGGUAAACCACAGCCUCAGAUAUAUAAGAAAAAAAAUGCACCACAUAAAAUACUUCUUCACAGAGCAGGACUUAUUUCCUGUGUGUUCAUGGCAUAGAGACUAUAUGCAUGAAAAUGGCAGGAAUAAAGAAUAUCAAAAGAAACAUUUGUAUUCAAAAUUGGCCUAAAGCAGUGUAAUAAAAAUAACCUGCCCUUUUUUAAGAUUUCUCAACAUACACUGAUUUGCUACUUCAUUUUUCAGAAUAAAUCAAGGCAACAAGGCACUUAUGAAUCAAUCCACCGUGAUUUACUUGUCGCUUUUGGAAGUUGGGAUUUUGAUCCAAUGAAUAGUACCAACCCAUUUCCUCAAAAUGAGGGUUCUGUACACAUCUGGCAAGGAUACGAAGACAGGUUGGUGCUUGUUGAGCUGCAGAGAUACAUUUCCAAGAAACUUCCAUGGAUCAAGUACCAUGAAGUCCCAGAAGGUGGACAUAUGUUCAUGCUGGUAGAUGGAUGGACUGACCGAAUUCUCAAGGCGCUCUUGGUAGGAGAAGAGCCCUCAGCUGCGUGACAGUAGACCCAUUUUCAAAUUUUGAGAACAACAUCAAGACGGCCAGCUGCUAUUCAGUUCAAUUUUUUUUCUUCACAAAUUUGUAUUCCUACAAUGUCAGGACUGGUCUAAUUCACAAUGUGCUAUACUGUCACUUUAAGCUAUUGUUCUCCAGCAUAUUAUCAAGUAAUUACAACAGCAUGUUAGACCAUGGUACUACGUUAUUACCUUUGGUCCAAAAUUGAUGUCAUCCUAGAAAGUGUGCGGUCAAAUAGUCAAAUUCUUUAUGAUUACUAACUAUAUACAACGGUAUUCAGUUUUGCUACAUGAAAACAACAAUGGAGUCAUCAUCAAAAUUGCAUCAAUGUCAUUCAAAAUUUACUGGUUUUAUAUAGCAUAUGCUAAAGAAAAGCAAUGAUCAUUGAUCAGUGCUCAGUGGUGUGCCCUGAAGACUAUUGGCGACCUAAAUGACAAGUGAGUCAGACAAGAGGUAGUACUAUACCUUGGCUGUUAAAUAGUCAUAGAAACAGCAAAAAGAAAAAAAAACACCUUACACAUUUAACACCAAGAGGCAAUCAAAAGGGAAACUAACAAAUCUGCAGUCAUGAUCUAGAUAAGACCAUGAAAAGCUUGAGCACGAGCAUUCUCACCUUUUCCUUAGAAGAUACAGUCUGAAAAGUUGAUAAGAUGAAUAGAUUGUAUUGGCGUGCAUUCCUCAUUUCAACAGUUAAUCUAUCAAUGAAAAUGAAAUAUCAAUAAUCACCAUAGAAAGAAAAAAAAUAAAGCUCACUACUGAUUAUGAUAAAUCAAACUAUUGUAACAGCAUUAGACAGUAGCAUACCUGACUAUGCUUGGCAUUAGUAUAAUUGAAGCUGUCACAUGAGUACAAGCAUAACGUGAUAUUGCAUGUUUGCCAAAACUCAUUUGCAUACGGUUAAGUACAAUCAAAACCAUAUUCUUUUGGUAAAUCACUAACCAAGUAGAAUCAAGUACAUGAAUUCAAAACUUAAUGCAAGUUUGCACCACAGAUUCAAUCUCUCGCGAAAUUUGGAGAUCAGAAAUGAUAACACUCUGACGUGGGCUAACAAAUUAAAGAGCCUUUUUGUCAAAAAAUUGUUCAUGUCAAUAACAGUUGGGACAGAUCUUUAGAAAGAGAUAAUUUCUCACUAAAAGACCCAAAGAAUGAUUACAUAUCUGACAGAUCAAUAUACUGUGACUUAUGCCUAUGACAAAUUGAUGGUCAUACAGGAAUUAUUCAUUACAAAAAAUUCUUGGUAUAUUCUUACCAAGAGAAAUCCUAUAUGUAAUUGAAGGAAGCUCAGUCGCAAAGGCCUGCAGCCAUUUACUAUUUUAGAUAGUUGAUCAACACCAGUCGGUUCCAGCACACCUUGUCAAAAGCAAAUAACAAAUGGGACAGAAUCGUAUGAUGAGAGGCCUUUAGAAAACAGACCAUAUUCCACCCAGUUUCCAUUAGAAAACACAUCUCCAUGAGUAUAAUGCCAACUUGCCAAGAAAAGAAUUCUGGCAAGGUUAACGCAGCAAGUGGAAGAACUGUUUGUACUCAACUAUUCAUUUGGGAAGCAUCCAGCUGCUUAACUCAGAGGACAUGGUACCUAAGUCUUGCUUUUUCUUCUUUCGAAUGGAAUUGACUCCAAACUCCAUUCAUCAUCUGAGCAGCAAGAGGAAGGCCUGCUUGUGCUUAACUAUUUGUUUAGAAAGCACCCAGCAGCUUAACUCAGAGAACAUUGUUUCAAACUCUCCUUUUGUUUCCCUUUUGAAAGGAAUUGCCCAUAAACUCCAUCUAUCAUCUUUGGGCUGAACACAAAAAACAAAAUAUGCUUAAUUAAAUGAGCAAAUAGCUAGAUAAGAAACAACUGAGGAAGAGAAAUAUGCAUACAGGAGAAACUUCUUACACGGACACACCUGAAAUGCAAGGAUAAUCUUUCACUGAGAUCAACCUAUUCACCCAAAACAACGUUCUCCAAAUACUCAAUUGCAUGGUGCAUGUGACUUUCAUCAAAUCCCUUAAACAAGGCCUUAUGUGUGCAAUAAUCUGGAUGUAUGCCGUUCUGAUGCAUUUCAAAAUACAAUCUCAUCGCAUCUUCCCAGCUGCCUUCUUUGCAGUUUCCAUCUAUCAACAAGGUAUAUGUGUAUUUGUUUGGUGCCAAUCCCCUUUCCAGCAUCUCAUAAAAAUGAUGAUAAGCCAAUUGAGUUCGGCCCAUCCUGCAUAGCGCAUGUAUAAGGACAUUAUAUGUUAUUUCAUUAGGUUCAACUCCUUUUUCCAACAUCUUUCGAAACCAACCAUAUGCUGAAUAAAGGUUUCCUUUUCUACAAUAUGCAUGAAUAAGAACAGUGUAGGUCACAGCUGUGGGUGGUAGAUGAUAUGAGUCCAUCAUAUUAAAAUAUUUUCUUGCUUCUCUUAGGAGUCCUCUUUCACAGUGCGCAUGAAUCAAGCAGGUGUAUGUGAUACAGUCAGGCUUUAAACCAUCACGGACCAUCUUCAUCCGCAGAUCUUCAGCAUCUUUCAGGUUUCCAGUCUUGCACAAUCCAUCAAUAAGAAUAUUGUAUGUGACUGUAUUAGAAGAUAUUCCUUCCAACAUCAUCGCCUCCCUCAACUGGAAAGCGUUGGAAGCAUCCCCUAGGGCAAGCUCUGCGCGAAUCCUUGUAUUAUAGGCAAAGCAAUCUGGCUGCAAACCUUUGCUCAGCAUCUCAUCAAAGAACUCUCUUGCCAUAGCAGGGUUCCUCACCUUAUGUGAACCAUUCAUGAGAGUUGUAUAUGUACAAACAUCGGGCAAACAGUCCUGCUCUACCAUUUCCUCUUUCAAUCUCCUAGCUUCAUCUAAAUCACCUAUUCUACAAUAACCAUCUAUCAGAAUGUUAUAUGUCAAAAUUGUUGGUGCUAACCCUGCACGCCUCAAAUCGCCAAGCAACCAAAGAACCUCCUUCAAAUUGCCUGCCUUACAAUACCCGUUUAGCAAAGAAUUGUACGUGAUCACAUCUGGAAGCAAGCCCAUCGCCCUCAUCUCCACAAACUUCAAUUGUGCAGCCUCCAUCUGCCCACUUUGAAGCAGCCCGUGAAUCAUUGCAUUGUAUGUCACAACUGUCGGCAUGAUACCUUCAUUCUCCAUCACCAACUGCAAAGCUUCAGCCUUCUUAAGAAAACCCCUCGCAAACAACCCAGUGAUCAGUGGGUUGUAAGUGAAGGAUGACGCUUUCUUGGACAGCCGCAUCCAGUCAACCAGCUCCACUGCAUCCCCCAGGUCACCUUUCCUGGUCAGCCAAGAAAUCACCACAUUGUAUGUGACAUUGUUUGGCAAGCAACCAGUCCCCCGUUUCUGCAUCUCCUUCAGCACCAUGGCAGCCUUGUCCUCCCUUCCCUCCUUCAAGAAAGAAUCCAGCAAAGUGUUGUACGUGACAAUGCUCGGCUCAAUCCCAAGCUGGAGCAUCUCUGCAUACACCGCGCAAAUGUCAUCCCACAUGGCCGCAUCACGGAGCACACGGAGCACGCGGUUGCAGUCUUUGACGUCAGGGGCCACUCUGUGAUGCGCCAUCUCACGGAAGGUGGACAGGCACAGCGUCGAACAGGUGGUGGGCGCAGCGUCGCGACCUUCGCAUUCUGGGGAGAACUUGGUGGACAGGCGUAAGAGGAGGCUCAACAGGGAUUUUGGGGCGGGAGAGAGGUGGGUGGAUAGGAGAAGGGACACGAGGGGGAGGAGGAGGCCGAGGUGCAGUGCGCGGAGGGAGACGGGGUAGGCAGCCCGGAUGUGGUUGGAUUGAGCGAGCGGGACGAGGACGGCGGCGAAUGCGGAGGCGGUGCGCGGGAAGCCGCGCGGGGUGUCCUCCGCCCACCGGAACAGCUGGCGCGCGAGGCCCGGGAGGCCGCGGAGCGCGGAGUGAACGUCGCCCGUGGCGAGCACCAGGCGGAGGGGCUCCGGCGGUGGGGGAUCAGAGGCGAGUAGUGCGGCGAAUGGGUUCUCCUCGGGAAGCGCCGGCGGAGGUGAAAUCAGCGGCUGGGACGGCGGCGGAAUCAAAGCCGGCGAGGAGGAGAAGCGGAUGCUGGAGAUAGCUGCGACGGCGGCUGCAGGAGCUUGUGAUUUGCAGUACGGGAUGUUGAAUAGCAUGGAUUAAGGUUCUGGUCCUACCCGGCGACGCCUCGCCAUGAAUGACGGCGCGGCGGCGGCGAGAAGGGACCUGCGGCAAUGGCUGCGGCGCAUCCACCAGAUUCCAGCGGCCGUAUGGGGUCGAGGGCGCGCGCCCCAGGCGGCGGCCCCCGACCUGGAGUUGAGAGCGCGCGGACGGGGGAACUGGACUCAGAUGGCCGGGAAGCGGCACAGGAGCCGGCGUUGACGGCGUUGGAGCCUGGCGGCGGCGGCGGCGGCUGGCAAGAGAGAAAGAGCCGCGGGCUCGACUAGGGGAGAGGGAUCGGAGGAAAGAAAGGCCACGUUCACCACAGAACGCUCUGGCCCUGGCGCCGCCGCGCCAGUACAGAGCACGAGCGAUCUGCACCGUCUAUUUUGCAUCCAGAUUUGUGCAGGAACUUCACACAAGAAAAAACUGGUAAGCCCAGCUGAACAUCUGGAUUCUGGGCCCCAGGCCCCUGUCCAAAUCUAACUCUGGUGUCUCAGAUUCCGAGUGCAAAUUCAAAUACUUCGUCUUCUGUACGAAUCUAGGGUUCGGACAAGAUGCGUAAAAUACAACGAACCAAAAUUGGAGAUCAAAUAUGUGGCACUGCGAUGAAACUACAAAACCAUUGAGGAGGAAAAUUGAGGUUUCAAUAGCAUUUUGCAUUUUCAUCCGUUCCCUCCAUCCCAAAUUACCAUUCGUUUUGACCUUUUCUAGAUACUCAAUAUCUAUAUGUAUCUAUAAAAGAUAUAAUGAAUAUUAAUUUGGGUAUGUGUCUAUAAAAGAUAAAAUGAAUAGUAAUUCAGGACGGAGGGAGUCUAGAUGCUCAAUAUCUAUAUGUAUUUGUAAAAGACACAAUGAAUAGUAAUUCAGGUACGUAUCUAUAAAAGACAAAAUGACAAUGAAUAGUAAUUCAGGUAUGUAUCUAUAAAAGACAAAAUGAAUAGUAAUUCGGUAAUUUGGGACGGAGGGAGUCCCUUUCCAAUCGACAACAAAUCAAAUUUCUGGCGUGCCGCCAACCCUGACUUGAGAGAUGCACAACUGAAGAACCCACAAUUCAUUCUUAUCUCGAUUUCUUUAAUGCUGCAAAAGUUCCAUUAUAAAUCUAUAAAUGCAACUCCUUCAGUUACGACAGCAAAUCGGUAACAAUAAGUACAUCUGGUAGGACCAAGCUGGUCCUGGUAAUUCGGCAGUGCCUUUUUAUUUCAUCACAGAAGACAUCAUAGCCGAGUUACAUGCAAAUAGAUUGUGCCAACUUACAGACAACACCCAACAUGUAAAGACCUUCCAAUGUGACCCCUUACAUCCGGGAUCAAAUGGGCUAAAAAGGCUAUUGAAGCCUGAAGCUUGAAGCUCCAAGCUGUCCGACUACAAGAUAUCAAACUCAUUUGAUACCCAAUGUCGAUGCCAUCUUCUAAGUAUACAAUGGAUGCAUUUUGGAAACAGAUGAGCCAUAUUUUGUUCGUUACAAAGGAAAUUUCAUGCACAAGGCCUCACAGAAAAGGAACUCAAGGCAGAGUUCCGUAGCUUCUGAUUUGAAGCCCUUGGAAUGCUGGACAACACAACAA
rnacentral:lncRNA from 1 species